UGGGGAAUUUUGGACAAUGGGGGAAACCCUGAUCCAGCCAUCCCGCGUGUGCGAUGAAGGCCUUCGGGUUGUAAAGCACUUUUGGCAGGAAAGAAACGUCAUGGGUUAAUACCCGGUGAAACUGACGGUACCUGCAGAAUAAGCACCGGCUAACUACGUGCCAGCAGCCGCGGAAUCCGUAGGGUGCAAGCGUUAAUCGGAAUUACUGGGCGUAAAGCGGGCGCAGGCGGUUCGGAAAGAAAGAUGUGAAAUCCCAGAGCUCAACUUUGGAACUGCAUUUUUAACUACCGGGCUAGAGUGUGUCAGAGGGAGGUGGAAUUCCGCGUGUAGCAGUGAAAUGCGUAGAUAUGCGGAGGAACACCGAUGGCGAAGGCAGCCUCCUGGGAUAACACUGACGCUCAUGCACGAAAGCGUGGGGAGCAAACAGG
rnacentral:rRNA from 1 species